CUUUUCUUUUCUUCUCUUCUCUUUAAAUCCUUUUCGCUUUCACCAUCUUCUAUAUCCCCUUCAUCUCACUGCCAUUGCAUGUUUUGAAUAUAAGAAAAGCUAAUAAAACAACUCUUGUUAGGAACCCUUUUGUAUCCAAACCAACCAUCUCCAUCUUUGGAUGCUCCUUUGAUUUUUCUUGUUGAUUUUUCAAGCCUUUUAUUUACCUCUAAGUGUUUCUUUUGGUUUUUGAAUGGGACCCAUUAGAGGUUUCAAGAGAAGGAAGAAAGCAGAGAAGAAGGUUGACCAGAAUGUCUUGGAUGCUGCCUUAUCUUCGUUGCAGCCCCAGCCCCAACAGCCUUUGGAUUGGUGGGAUGAUUUCUCCAAGAGGAUUACUGGGCAUCUUUCUGAAACAAAAAAUUCAAAGAAAUUUGAGUCUGUUUUCAAAAUUUCAAGAAAGACAUUCAACUACAUCUGUUCACUCGUGAAUGAUGAUCUGAGGGCUAGGCAAUCGAACUUCACUGGUUCAGAUGGGAAGCCAUUAUCUCCCAAUGACCAAGUAGCUAUUGCUCUUAGGAGGCUUAGCUCAGGUGAAUCAUUGUCAAACAUCGGAGAUUCAUUUGGAAUCAACCAGUCAACUGUUUCUCAUAUAACCUGGCGAUUUGUGGAAGCAAUGGAAGAAAGAGGACUGCACCAUCUUCGGUGGCCUACCACUGAAGCAGAAAUAGAAGAGAUAAAGUCCAAGUUUGAGAAGAUGCAUGGCCUUCCUAACUGCUGUGGUGUGAUUGACACUACACACAUUGUCAUGACUCUGCCUACAGUGGACCAUUCAAAUGAUGUAUGGAUUGAUCGGGAGAAGAACCACAGCAUGGUCUUGCAAGCAAUAGUAGACCCUGACAUGAGAUUCCGCGAUGUAAUUGUUGGGUAUCCUGGUAGUUUAAGUGAUGCCCUAGUGCUUCAGAACUCUAGUUUCUUCAAACUUUCUGAAGAAGGGAAAAGGCUAAAUGGAAAGAAGAUAGAACUCAUGGAAGGAACAGAAUUGGGAGAAUACAUUAUAGGGGAUGCAGGGUUUCCCCUAUUGCCAUGGCUACUAACUCCUUUUCAAGAUGCACUCCCAGAUCAUCAGGCUGAGUUUAAUAAACAACAUGCUGCAACACGAGCAGUAGCAGAGAUUGCAUUGGCAAGGCUGAAGGAAAUGUGGAGGAUAAUUCAUGGAGUAAUGUGGCUGCCUGAUAAGAAUCGGUUGCCUAGAAUAGUCUUUGUGUGCUGCUUGCUUCACAAUAUUGUUAUUGACAUGGAGGAUAAAGUGUUUAGUGAGAUGCCCAUGUCUCUUCAUCACGACAAAGAUUAUCGGCAACAAAUUUGUGAAUCUGCCUCCGAGACAGGCAUUGAUAUCAGAGAGAAGUUAUCUCUCUACUUAUCUAGUAAAUUGCCAUCUUGAAAAGGGUCAUGCUUUUUUCUUAAUUAGCAAUAAAUCUUUUAUAGACAGGGUAAUACACAGUUUUGUUUAU
rnacentral:misc_RNA from 1 species